rnacentral:rRNA from 1 species
GUAGUCUCGCACAGAUGCAUAUCAAUAAGCGGAGGAAAAGAAACUAACAAGGAUUCCCUUAGUAACGGCGAGUGAAGCGGGAAGAGCUCAAAUUUGAAAUCUUCAAGGUUUUACCUUGACGAAUUGUAGUUUAAAGAAGUGUUUUCUGUUGAAGUUUUGGUAAAAGUUCUUUGGAAUAGGACAUCAUAGAGGGUGAGAAUCCCGUAUUUGACCAUUAUUUUCAGCUGUGUGAUACACUUUCAAAGAGUCGGAUUGUUUGGGAAUGCAGUCCAAAAUGGGUGGUAAAUUUCAUCUAAAGCUAAAUAUUGGCGAGAGACCGAUAGCGAACAAGUACCGUGAGGGAAAGAUGAAAAGAACUUUGAAAGGAGAGUUAAAUAGUACGUGAAAUUGUCAAAAGGGAAGCGUUUGACACCAGUGUUGUUUUCUGAAAAUCAACCUCUGUUAGCUUUAUGCAUGUUUGUUUAGACCUAAUCAGCUAUCUUGCAUGUUCUAUUGUUUGCAGUGGUGCACUUUUCAGUUUACAGGUCAACAUCAGUUUUUUUUACCGUAAAAAAGUUAAAGAAAGGUAGCUCAUGGCUCCGGUCGUGAGUGUUAUAGUCUUUUUCCUAUGCGGUAGGAGAGACUGAGGUCUGCAGUGUAGGCUAUUUGGCUAGAUACUCAGGUGCUAUGUGAUACCAUUUCAUAAACAACUUGUUGAUUAUGUUUUGUCUAUUGCAUACUCGCUUGUACUAUCAUACCUACGCUUAGGAUGUUGAAGAUGUAGCACAUCAU